rnacentral:rRNA from 1 species
UACAGAGGGUGCAAGCGUUAAUCGGAAUUACUGGGCGUAAAGCGUGCGUAGUCGGUUAUUUAAGUCGGAUGUGAAAUCCCCGGGCUCAACCUGGGAAUUGCAUUCGAUACUGGAUAGCUAGAGUUCGGCAGAGGGAAGCGGAAUUUCUGGUGUAGCGGUGAAAUGCGUAGAUAUGCGGAGGAACACCGAUGGCGAAGGCAAUCCCCUGGGCCUGUACUGACGCUCAUGCACGAAAGCGUGGGGAGCAAACAGG